AGGCUGUGGUGAGGGCAUUCUAGGAGUAGAUCCUUGAAUCUCUCCAUAAAUUUGGAGAACGACUCACUAGGUUUCUGCCUGAAUUGAAGACUGUCACUCUUAAGUUU